ensembl:lncRNA
GUUAAACACAAAAGAAAAUAUUAUGAAGAAUAUUGGAAUCCAAACAGCUGACGGUAGCCAUUGACUUCCAUAGUAUGGAAACAAAUACUAUAGAAGUCAAUGGCUACCGUCAACAUUCUUCGAAAUGUCUUCUUUUGUGUUCAGCAGAGGAAAGAAACGCAUACAGGUGGCGAAGAGUAAAUGAUGGCAGAUUAUAUUAUGUGUGUUAUGUUUAUGAAAAUAAUUCUUGGUUAUGCGAACUUUAAGAGAACGUUCCAUUUUAUCAUUUUGCAGACAUUAUGAGAACGGUACUUUUGAAUGCUCUCUGAACAUUCUGAAAGAAUUAGUUACAUUUAACAAAUGUUAGACAAACUUAAAUCUCUCAACAUUCCAAAAAUAUAUAAAUAAUGUUUUUGUGCUAACGCUAUGAGAGCAUUAUUAAAGAUCAGAUAACUUUAAAUGAAUUUUCUAUUAAUGUUACUGGAAGAUUGUUUGCUGGGAUAUAUUGAGAUUAUUGACUGCUCUCUCUCUCAUCUGUUUCAGGGCCGUUAAUGUCUUCCUUACUCACUAAUGUCUUUCUCUCGGUGUGAACAGAUCCCCGGGGAGACGACACGCAAGCCUGCGGACAAUGCUUGCGGUCCAUCAAUGGGUCUCUGGGGUCUCUGGGAGUCUCUGACGUGCUCAAGUGCAGCUUUCUCCAGCAGCUACGGAGACGUUCUUCAGAUUCAUACUGUAGUCUUGAGCGUGCGUUGCAUCAUUCUGUGCUGCUGAACUGAAUACCCACAAUCCUUCAAGGCACAAGAUUGGGCCCAAACAGAAACGGAGAGUAACGUUUGUGAAAGCUGCAUCAGUGUUCAAUAUUCAUAGAACUAGCACAAAAAGUUCUACUAAGUGGAGAAAUCAUGUAGAACUUCCUUCACAGAGGAACAGAAGCUCCUGUCCUUCCUCUCAUCUGUUCAUCUCCACAGGUUUAUUAACUGAAGGAGUGAGAGAAUUGCAUGUUGAUAUAGUGAAUACACACACACACACACACACACACACACUUUUCUCUGCUUAAGUGAUUCUGUUCUCUUUAUAACCUCCAGUGACGCGUCUGUUGUAAAUGUAGUGCUGGAGAUGAAAACAGUCAAAAUAAAUAUAAUAAAUAAUAAAUAAUGUUAAUAAAA